UUAAUUUUAUGGUUCUAUUUAUAUAGAUUAAAAGGGAAAGAGGUGUGAUUCCUCUACAGCCCCCGUUACUGUAAUGUGGACGAAACUCAGAUUACCACUGUGAUUUUUAAUCAUGGGAAGGUGAGGAGUAGGACGAUACUAAGUCAGGAAACCUGCCUAAAUGCA
rnacentral:ncRNA from 1 species